rnacentral:rRNA from 1 species
UGCUCGGGGAGGAGAUUAUGUCCUAUUAGCUAGUUGGUGAGGUAACGGCUCACCAAGGCUGUGAUGGGUAGCUGGCCUGAGAGGGUGGUCAGCCACACUGGGACUGAGACACUGCCCAGACUCCUACGGGAGGCUGCAGUCGAGAAUCUUCCGCAAUGGGCGAAAGCCUGACGGAGCGACGCCGCGUGGAGGAUCGAAGGCCUUCGGGUUGUAAACUCCUUUCGAGCGGGGAAGAAUAACCUUGGGUGAACAGCCCCGGGUGUGACGGUACCCGCAGAAGAAGCUCCGGCUAACCCUGUGCCAGCAGCCGCGGUAAUACAGGGGGAGCGAACGUUACUCGGAAUCACUGGGCAUAAAGGGCGCGUAGGCGGUCCUGUAAGUCGGAUGUGAAAGACCUUGGCUCAACCAAGGAAUGGCAUCCGAUACUGUGGGGCUUGAGGCCAAGAGGGGCAAGCGGAACUCCUGGUGGAGCGGUGAAAUGCGUAGAUAUCAGGAGGAACACCGGUGGCGAAGGCGGCUUGCUGGAUUGGUCCUGACGCUGAGGCGCGAAAGCCAGGGGAGCAAACGGGAUUAGAUACCCCGGUAGUCCUGGCCGUAAACGAUGGGCACUGGGUAGUGGGGACUGACUAUGGUCUUCGCUGCCGUAGCUAAUGUGUUAAGUG